CCUACGGGUGGCAGCAGUGAGGAAUAUUGGUCAAUGGCCGGAAGUCUGAACCAGCCAAGCCGCGUGAAGGAGGAAGGCGCAGAGCGUCGCAAACCUCUUUUGCCGGGGGACAAAAGGCCGGACUCGUCCGGUCCUGAAGGUACCCGGAGAAAAAGCAUCGGCUAACUCCGUGCCAGCAGCCGCGGUAAUACGGAGGAUGCGAGCGUUAUCCGGAUUCAUUGGGUUUAAAGGGUGCGCAGGCGGGCCUUUAAGCCGGCGGUGAAAUCGCGGGGCUCAACCCCGCAGUGCCGUCGGAACUGGGGGCCUUGAGUGCGGCGGAGGUAUGCGGAAUGCGUGGUGUAGCGGUGAAAUGCAUAGAUAUCGCGAAGAACCCCGAUUGCGAAGGCAGCGCGCCGGGCUGCCACUGACGCUGAGGCACGAAAGCGUGGGGAUCGAACAGGAUUAGAUACCCGAGUAGUC
rnacentral:rRNA from 1 species